UGAUAAUUGGCUCAGUGGUAGAGCAUUGCGUUAGUAACGCAAAAGGUUGUGGGUUCGAUUCCCACAUGUUAG